rnacentral:misc_RNA from 1 species
AUUUUGAACAAGGGAGAUUUGAAGGUAUUGCAAGGGAAUUUUAGAAAGUAUAUAGGUUUAACAUUGGGGAAUGCUUUCAUCUUUUUCCCCAACUUUUUGGCCAAGCUGGAGGAUGGACAUCUUUGGAGGAAGCUUUUUGACAAUGUAAAUUUUCAAGCCUUUAUUGGGGAGUGCAUAGGUGUUGGCAAGGGGUGUGGUGACAUUAGAAUGGAAAAGAAAUCUCUUCAUUUGCUUGUAACUGAUAAUGAACUUAUUUAAUAAAAUAAUAAAAAGUCGAUAAUGUUAAAUCAUAAGAAUAAGAUAGUCUUCUUAUUUACCAUCUGUUUGCCAUGUUAACCCCUUUCAACUAGGGGUGUGCAAACGGUCGG